rnacentral:rRNA from 1 species
AGUGAACGCUGGCGGCAGGCCUAACACAUGCAAGUCGAGCGGCAGCACGGCAAUAGCAAUAUUGUGGGUGGCGAGCGGCGGACGGGUGAGGAAUGCAUCGGGAUCUACCCUGUCGUGGGGGACAACGUAGGGAAACUUACGCUAAUACCGCAUGAUCUGGAGACAGCAAAGCCGGGGACCUUCGGGCCUGGCGCGAUGGGAUGAGCCGAUGUCCGAUUAGCUAGUUGGCGGGGUAAAGGCCCACCAAGGCGACGAUCGGUAGCUGGUCUGAGAGGACGACCAGCCACACUGGAACUGAGACACGGUCCAGACUCCUACGGGAGGCAGCAGUGGGGAAUAUUGGACAAUGGGGGCAACCCUGAUCCAGCCAUGCCGC